rnacentral:rRNA from 1 species
ACAAUGGACGAAAGUCUGAUGGAGCAACGCCGCGUGAACGAUGAAGGCCUUCGGGUCGUAAAGUUCUGUUGUAAGGGAAGAACAAGUGCCGCAGGCAAUGGCGGCACCUUGACGGUACCUUGCGAGAAAGCCACGGCUAACUACGUGCCAGCAGCCGCGGUAAUACGUAGGAUGCAAGCGUUGUCCGGAAUUAUUGGGCGUAAAGCGUACGUAGGCGGUUUGUUAAGUCAGGGGUUAAAGACUGAGGCUCAACCUCAGGAGUGCCCUUGAUACUGGCAGGCUGGAGGACGGCAGAGGAAAGUGGAAUUCCCAGUGUAGCGGUGAAAUGCGUAGAUAUUGGGAGGAACACCAGUGGCGAAAGCGACUUUCUGGGCCGUUCCUGACGCUGAGGUACGAAAGCGUGGGGAGCAAACAGGAUUAGAUACCCUGGUAGUCCACGCCGUAAACGAUGGAUACUAGGUGUAGAGGGUAUCGACCCCCUCUGUGCCGUAGCUAACGCGUUAAGUAUCCCGCCUGGGGACGUA